rnacentral:rRNA from 1 species
UACGGGGGGGGCAAGCGUUGUUCGGAAUUACUGGGCGUAAAGGGCUCGUAGGUGGCCAACUAAGUCAGACGUGAAAUCCCUCAGCUUAACUGGGGAACUGCGUCUGAUACUGGAUGGCUUGAGUUUGGGAGAGGGACGCGGAAUUCCAGGUGUAGCGGUGAAAUGCGUAGAGAUCUGGAAGAACACCAAAGGCGAAGGCAGCGUCCUGGCGAGUCACUGACGCUCAGGUGCGAAAGCUAGGGGAGCGAACGGG